UGCCAGCCGCCGCGGUAAUACGGGGGGAGCAAGCGUUGUUCGGAAUUAUUGGGCGUAAAGGGCGUACAGGCGGUGAUGCAAGUCAGGUGUGAAAUACAUCGGCUCAACCGAUGUCCUGCAUCUGAAACUGCACCACUUGAGUACAGGAGAGGAAAGCGGAAUUUCACGUGUAGCGGUGGAAUGUGUAGAUAUGUGGAAGAACACCAGUGGCGAAGGCGGCUUUCUGGCCUGAUACUGACGCUGACGCGCGAAAGCUAGGGGAGCAAACAGGAUUAGAUA
rnacentral:rRNA from 1 species